UGUGUAGGUGGCGCGCUAAGUCGGGUGUGAAAUUUCGGAGCUUAACUCCGAAGCUGCAUUCGAUACUGGCGUGCUUGAGGACUGGAGAGGAGACUGGAAUUUACGGUGUAGCAGUGAAAUGCGUAGAUAUCGUAAGGAAGACCAGUGGCGAAGGCGGGUCUCUGGACAGUUCCUGACACUGAGACACGAAGGCCAGGGGAGCAAACG
rnacentral:rRNA from 1 species